rnacentral:rRNA from 1 species
CCUACGGGAGGCAGCAGUGAGGAAUAUUGGUCAAUGGCCGCAGGGCUGAACCAGCCAAGUCGCGUGAGGGAUGACGGUCCUAUGGAUUGUAAACCUCUUUUGUCAGGGAGCAAAGGGCGCCACGUGUGCCGCUUUGCGAGUACCUGAAGAAAAAGCAUCGGCUAACUCCGUGCCAGCAGCCGCGGUAAUACGGAGGAUGCGAGCGUUAUCCGGAUUUAUUGGGUUUAAAGGGUGCGCAGGCGGAAUGUUAAGUCAGCGGUAAAAUUUUGGGGCUCAACCCCGUCGUGCCGUUGAAACUGGCGUUCUUGAGUGAGCGAGAAGUAUGCGGAAUGCGUGGUGUAGCGGUGAAAUGCAUAGAUAUCACGCAGAACUCCGAUUGCGAAGGCAGCAUACCGGCGCUCAACUGACGCUCAUGCACGAAAGCGUGGGUAUCGAACAGGAUUAGAUACCCCAGUAGUC